rnacentral:rRNA from 1 species
UACGGAGGGUGCAAGCGUUAUCCGGAUUCACUGGGUUUAAAGGGUGCGUAGGUGGGUUGGUAAGUCAGUGGUGAAAUCUCCGGGCUUAACUCGGAAACUGCCGUUGAUACUAUCAAUCUUGAAUGUUGUGGAGGUAAGCGGAAUAUGUCAUGUAGCGGUGAAAUGCUUAGAUAUGACAUAGAACACCGAUAGCGAAGGCAGCUUGCUACACAAUAAUUGACACUGAGGCACGAAAGCGUGGGGGAUCAAACAGG